GGACUCUGCUUUAGCAAUAACUUGGGAAAUGGGAGCUGAUAAUGAAGGCCUGGCUGCUCCAGGAGGAAGCGGUAAUGGAUGGACCUCAAAGUUGGCAUUACUUUCACGCCCUGGGGUUGAGCUUUCAAUUGACAGUUUUGCAUUCAACAAUGAUGCAGGUCCAUUUGGGCUUCUAGGAUUCCGGUGGGGACUUCUACUUGGUGGACUAU
rnacentral:misc_RNA from 1 species